rnacentral:rRNA from 1 species
AUUGAACGCUGGCGGCAGGCCUAACACAUGCAAGUCGAGCGAGCGGCGGACGGGUGAGUAAUGUAUGGGGACUGCCCGAUAGAGGGGGAUAACUACUGGAAACGGUAGCUAAUACCGCAUACUAUCGGAUAACCCAUAUGGGAUUAGCUAGUUGGUGAGGUAAUGGCUCACAAAGGCGACGAUCCCUAGCUGGUCUGAGAGGAGGAUCAGCCAGACUGGGACUGAGACACGGCCCAGACGCCUACGGAGGCAGCAGUGGGGAAGUUUGCACAAUGGGCGCAAGCCUGAUGCAGCCAUGCCGCGUGUAUGAAGAAGGCCCUAGGGUUGUAAAGUACUUUCAGUCGGGAGGCGUUACCUGCAGAAGAAGCACCGGCUAACUCCGUGCCAGCAGCCGCGGUAAUUC